GAAUCAAUUUUACUGUCACUUUACUAUUUGAUGUUUACACUGAGAUGUGGAAUCAAAUGCGUUUCAGAUUCCUCUUCAGAAAUUGACAUGAUGCAAGUAAAUUAUGAUCACAUAGCACCCCGUGAGUUUCGUUUAUCAUCAUCAAGGCAUUGCGUUGCAGAUGAACAAUCAUUUCACUGCUCAAAGAUGAUGUCGUUCACAGUCUUCAAAAUGUCUAAUCGGGUAACAGCAGUGACUGCACCUGAACAGAAGAUCGGAUUCAUGACAAAGAUCCAGAAUUUUUUCCGCCGUGGUUCUAAGACUGCGACUGCCAUGUCUGAACAAACAGACUCUGAAAUCAAAAUUGAUGGUAUGUACAGUAUAUAUAUAUGACCAAUGGAUCCUCUGCAGUGAAUGGGUGCCGUCAAAAUUAGAGUCAUACAGCUGAUAAAAACAUCACAAAAUGUCCAUAAGUGAUCCACAUGACUCCAGUCCAUCAAUUAACAUCUUGAGAAGUGAAAAACUGUGUGUUAGUAAGAGACAACCCCGUGAUAAAGGCCUUUUUAACUUUAAACCUUUGUUUUGGCUCAAAUACAACUGGUCUUAAAAGUCGUCUAAUCUGAAUCAGGAGAGAAGUAUGCACAGAUCCAAAGUCCAUAACAGUUUUAAACAAAUUUGUUUGUGGAUUGUGAUGUGAGAGGACAACAGGUGAUGGACUCUAUCACUGGAGGAAGAAGUGUUAUUAUGGAAUAUAAACUCAUAUUUUGGCCAGAAGUUAUGGUUAAAGUUAAAACGUCUUGAUGAAGUUGUUCCUUUAC
rnacentral:lncRNA from 1 species